UACGUAGGGGGCAAGCGUUGUCCGGAAUCAUUGGGCGUAAAGAGCGCGUAGGCGGCCCGGUAAGUCCGCUGUGAAAGUCAAAGGCUCAACCUUUGAAUGUCAGCGGAUACUGCCGGGCUAGAGUCCGGAAGAGGCGAGUGGAACUCCUGGUGUAGCGGUGGAAUGCGCAGAUAUCAGGAAGAACACCAACGGCGAGGGCAGCUCGCUGGGACGGAACUGACGCUAAGGCGCGAAAGCGUGGGGAGCAAACAGG
rnacentral:rRNA from 1 species